rnacentral:rRNA from 1 species
AUGCAAGUCGUGCGAGAACGGGGGCUUCGGCCCCCUAGUAAAGCGGCGCACGGGUGCGUAACACGUGGGCAACCUGCCCAACGGUUCGGGAUAAGCUCUCGAAAGGGGGUCUAAUACCGAAUGAUAUUCAGACGAGACAUCUCGUUUGACUCAAAGACGGUGAAAGCCGUUGCCGAUGGAUGGGCCCGCGGCCCAUUAGCUAGUUGGCGGGGUAACGGCCCACCAAGGCUGUGAUGGGUAGCCGACCUGAGAGGGUGACCGGCCACACUGGGACUGAGAUACGGCCCAGACUCCUACGGGAGGCAGCAGUAGGGAAUAUUGCGCAAUGGGGGAAACCCUGACGCAGCAACGCCGCGUGGGUGACGAAGCUCCUUGGAGUGUAAAACCCUGUCGCCAGGGAAGAAACGGCGGAUGAGGAAAUGCAUUCGCCCUGACGGUACCUGGAAAGGAAGUUCCGGCUAACUCCGUGCCAGCAGCCGCGGUAACACGGGGGGAACGAGCGUUGUUCGGAUUUACUGGGCGUAAAGGGUGCGUAGGCGGGUCAGCAAGUCGGGUGUGAAAGUCCAGGGCUUAACCCUGAAUCUGCAUUCGAAACUGCUGGUCUUGAGUACUGGAGAGGUAAGUGGAAUUCCUGGUGUAGCGGUGAAAUGCGUAGAUAUCAGGAGGAACACCGUUGGCGAAGGCGGCUUACUGGACAGAUACUGACGCUGAGGCACGAAGGUCGGGGGAGCAAACAGGAUUAGAUACCCUGGUAGUCCCGACGGUAAACGAUGGGCACUAGGUGUCGGAGGUAUCGACCCCUCCGGUGCCGCAGUUAACACAUUAAGUGCCCCGCCUGGGGAGUACGACCGCAAGGUUGAAACUCAAAGGAAUUGACGGGGGCCCGCACAAGCGGCGGAGCAUGUGGCUUAAUUCGACGCAACGCGAAGAACCUUACCAAGGCUUGACAUACACCGGAAAACCCUGGAGACAGGGUCCCCCUUGUGGUCGGUGUACAGGUGGUGCAUGGCUGUCGUCAGCUCGUGUCGUGAGAUGUUGGGUUAAGUCCCGCAACGAGCGCAACCCUUGUCCCGUGUUGCCAGCAUGCCCUUCGGGGUGAUGGGGACUCACGGGAGACCGCCGGGGUCAACUCGGAGGAAGGUGGGGACGACGUCAAGUCAUCAUGCCCCUUAUGUCUUGGGCUGCACACGUGCUACAAUGGCCGGUACAAAGAGCUGCGAUGCCGCGAGGCGGAGCGAAUCUCAAAAAGCCGGUCUCAGUUCGGAUUGGGGUCUGCAACUCGACCCCAUGAAGUCGGAGUCGCUAGUAAUCGCAGAUCAGCAUUGCUGCGGUGAUACGUUCCCGGGCCAUGCAACUCACCG